rnacentral:lncRNA from 1 species
UUUAACCUUAACCUCACCUUCACCGUUGUAAACACAUGAGACUCAAGCUGAGCAUGUCAGGUAUUGCAUUUCAGCUGUGGAAUGGUGUGUUGUGUGAAUAUUUGCUUUUAUAUCCAGAUCAUAUUGAGGCAUUGGAAAAAGGAGCUCCCUCCAGUAUGCAGAUGACUCAAUAUCCUGAGAAGGCACCUUUAUUUAUACUGGAAGAUCCUGCAGAUACCUGCCUAACAAAACUCUGCUAUCCUUAAUGCUGUGGACUAGAAGUAACAGCUGCUUUCAAGGUCAAGUCUGGAAUGUUCCAAGGCACUGGACAUGAGACAUUCAAGAGCCUGGAGAAGAGACAAACGUUGUCUGUGCAAGGCCAGAGACAAGUAAAGGAGCCAUGGCUACAGUUUGUGGACCAGUAGUCUCUGGACCCCCAGUCUUCAGACUCUUAGGCCAGGGCUUGAGUCUCAGAUUUUGUUGUUUGGCACAGUGAGUGAGCUGGGCAUCGAUAUGGAGUCAGGUAGAAUAGAAAACAGGACUUACACUGAUACAUUACCUUGGUAAAGCUGUUGUGAGUGAAUACAAGGUUGGAUGAAUCAAGAACCCUUGGCAACAAUUGAUGCUCAAGAAGGAGGUGACUGUCCGAGAAGUAAUGAUGCCACAUCAAGUUGGCUCAAUAAAGAUGCGCUUUGUGCAUUUGCUUGCUUCAGAACAACAAGUAAUCAGGC